rnacentral:rRNA from 1 species
UUAGUAUUGCGACGCUAGAGGUGAAAUUCUUGGACCGUCGCAAGACUAACUAAAGCGAAAGCAUUUGCCAAGAAUGUUUUCAUUAAUCAAGAACGAAAGUUAGAGGUUCGAAGGCGAUCAGAUACCGCCCUAGUUCUAACCAUAAACGAUGCCAACCAGCAAUCAGCCUGUGUUCUCUUGAUGACACGGCUGGCGGCUUCCGGGAAACCAAAGUUUUUCGGUUCCAGGGGAAGUAUGGUUGCAAAGCUGAAACUUAAAGGAAUUGACGGAAGGGCACCACCAGGAGUGGAGCCUGCGGCUUAAUUUGACUCAACACGGGGAAACUCACCCGGCCCGGACACUGUGAGGAUUGACAGGUUGAAGCCCUUUCUUGAUUCAGUGGGUGGUGGUGCAUGGCCGUUCUUAGUUGGUGGAGUGAUUUGUCUGGUUAAUUCCGAUAACGAACGAGACUCUAGCCUACUAAUUAGACCGUGGCGUCCUUCGUGCCGCCACGGCGCUUCCUAGAGGGACAGACGACGUUUCAGCCGU